rnacentral:misc_RNA from 1 species
CACACACACACACAUAUAUAUAAUAAUAGCAUUGCAAUUAGAGAUGCAAAAUGAUCAUUGAUUAAAUCAUGCCAUAGCAAGAACAAGCUGCCAAUUUCCAUACACCAUUUAAGAAACACUUGAAACAAGCAAAAGAGAAGCAAUCUGAGAGAAUCAAGAAAGAACCACAUAAAGUCAAGGGAGAUAAAGACCUAGCAAGCACUAGCACUUCAGCUUUUACAGCAUGAAGACGGGAAUUGGCAUAAGCAGCAGCUGAAUUAAGCAGUUUCAACUUCCAAAGGAGAGUUUCCCUUGGAAUGAUAUCAGCCAAACCCUGAAAUCAAACACAUAAAUAUCCAUGGGUAGCCUAAAAAAUAAUAUUUAAACCAAGCAAAUGAAUCAUAAUAAUCUGAAUGCACAUUAGGAAUCAAGUUGUUUCAGAUCAGACCAACAACAGGUCUUAGUCUGUGAAUUACAAAACCUGAAAAUCACCUAUCUUAUUUAUGUAGCACGUGUUUCCCUUUAUUUUAACAAGAUAGCACAGUACUCAAUUAACUUGUGCCUUUCCAGUUUCCACUAUGAAAGGACACAGUUUAUCAUAACAGAAGAUCUAGUUAUUGGAGACUAAAGAGUGUAAAAAGAGACCAAAAGCAAUAAAAACAAAACAGAACAAGUGCAGAAACUAGGCAGUGCAGUUCUUACAGAAAGAAGAGGUAGCAAAGUAGUGAGAUUGCUGGACAGUUGUUCAAUUUUUGAUUUGGGAGGAAGCCUAUAUUCGAUAUCAACCAUUGCCAUCUUCAGUGGAUC